UACGGAGGGAGCUAGCGUUGUUCGGAAUUACUGGGCGUAAAGCGCACGUAGGCGGCUUUGUAAGUUAGAGGUGAAAGCCCGGGGCUCAACUCCAGAACUGCCUUUAAGACUGCAUCGCUUGAAUCCAGGAGAGGUGAGUGGAAUUCCGAGUGUAGAGGUGAAAUUCGUAGAUAUUCGGAAGAACACCAGUGGCGAAGGCGGCUCACUGGACUGGUAUUGACGCUGAGGUACGAAAGCGUGGGGAGCAAACAGG
rnacentral:rRNA from 1 species